UACAGAGACUGCAAGCGUUAUUCGGAUUCACUGGGCGUAAAGGGUGCGCAGGCGGUUAUGUGUGUCAGGUGUGAAAUCUCGGAGCUCAACUCCGAAACUGCGCCUGAAACUACAUGACUAGAGCAUUGGAGAGGGUAGCGGAAUUCACGGUGUAGCAGUGAAAUGCGUAGAUAUCGUGAGGAACACCAGAGGCGAAGGCGGCUACCUGGACAAUUGCUGACGCUCAGGCACGAAAGCGUGGGGAGCAAAAGGGAUUAGAAACCCCCGUAGUCC
rnacentral:rRNA from 1 species